GCUGUGCCCAAUGAGAGGAGGAAAUGAUCUGUCCCUACGCUGUGGUCAACUUCAAUAUCUCCAACUUAGAUUUUUAAGUUUGGACUUUCAAUAUCCAAGCUUUCUAUUUGCACCAGCCUGAGUUAUAACUGGGGAAAAUGAUUACCAGGAAUGUUUAAAUGGAAGUAAAAUCUAAUCCCAAACUAGAAGUGACAGAAAACUGGCAGUCUGCCCAAGCCCAGAGAGGCUUUGGGAAUCUGCCAACACUGGGGGCUUUGCAGUUCUACAUGAUUAUGUGUUAAUUUUCUGUUUCUCUGCUUUUCUGUCUUUCAAAGGAAGACUGGAGAGAAAAAACAAAAAACAAAACACAUUUCCUGCAUUGAAGAGAUUCCCAUGAAGAAUUCAAACCAGUUAGAUGUUUCCUAAAACCCUUAAUAAUGCUUGCUUUUCACUCAAACUACUUCUCCCUCUUCACAGGAAUCAAACUUAGGACCUGCACUUGCCAGGCAGGAAUCUGGUCACAUUUCUACGGUGCAGAAAUAAUAUGCAUGCUGUGGCAUCUUCUGGCCUUUAAAAACUGCUUUUUGAGCUGUGUGUGGUGGUGUAUGCCUAUAAUCCCAGCACCUAGCAGGCUGAGGCAGAAGGACUGUCACAAGUCUGAGGCUACCUAGUGAGUUCAAGGCCAGCCCAGACUACAAGGCAAGAUCCUAUCACAAGCCCCACCCCCUCAAGUGAGAUUUCAACAGGACUGAAUACAAGAGGCGCCACACUCAGAGAAAAUCAACUACAAACAGAGUGAGAGGGAUGCCACCACUCGGGAUCUGAGCAGCUGUGGGCUCCAACCCAGCAACCUGUGGGAGGAGGGCACUCCCGCCCGCCGUCGGAGGAGACUGAAGGAGAAGGAGCUGUCUCCAGAGGGCAAGAAGUAGAGUCAACAAAACUAGGGAUCACAGUGGCUGCAGUGGGAGCGAGUGAAACGGAAUGAGCCCUCCUGCCCCUUCCCCAUCAGUGGUUUGAGAAAGGGACGCACCACAUAGAAUUUAAAGAUUUAAGCAUCCUUGAGCCACGGUGCAGCAGUGGAGGGUGGGUACUCCUUCCUUCAGAGAGAAAACUGAAGUGGACUGAGCAACCUUGGCUGUCUCCUUAGCAGGGGUGGCAGGAUCACAGCUCCUCCCUUAGCUCCCAUCCUGCCCUGCAAUAAGCAGCUCAAGAGGACAGGGACUUGCUGGUAGAAGUGGCACGAAGGGGCUGUGCAAGGACUGGAGGAGCCAACAGGACUGGAAGCUGGCAGAGGGAGGAGGAGACACAGGGUGAGGAGUGGGUGGGCCUACAAGGGACACCGGCCCUGCCCCCACAUCUGGAGGCCAAGAUUAGCCCGGUACUCAAAAACAAGUCCUCCUCAGCCUUGGUGGUGUCCCCCAGCAUCGAUCUGGACUCUGAUUUGGACACCAGGAUAGGACUGUGGACACCAGGGGAAUGUCAUUAUUUUUUUUUCUCUUUCUUUUCCUUUUCUGUCUUUUUUGUUUAGGUUUUUACUUUUGUUUGUUCUGCUGACCUCUGCACUCUCUCUCUCCCUCUUCUAUUUUUUAAAAAUCCACUUUAUUUCAAAGAGAAAAGAUAAAACAAAAUUUUAAAACAUGCCAAUCAGGAGGCAGCAAUGGUACAUACACUGGGCAUUGUCAUCCCCAAAUCACCCAGUGCACAAGAAAUCUGCAUUCAAUUGUCCAAACAAUACCAGCACAAAUCUUUCUCUACAGUGAAAUCAGUAUUAUAACUAUCUUAACUGUUUUUCUUAUAUACAUAUACGUGCACAUAUAUCUAUGUUGUUUCAGCUUUUCACACUAGUGAGACAACAUGAUUGUUACACGUGUGUCUGGUUUAUUUCACUUAUGAGUAUGGUCUCAAGUUCCAUCCAUUUACCUAUAAAAGUCUCCAGUUUAUCCUUCUUUAUGACUGAGUAGUACUCCAUUGUAUAAAAAGACCACAUCUUUUAUCCAUUCCUCAGUCGAUGGGCAUUUGGGUUGUUUCUGAGAUCUGGCUAUUACAAAUUGUCCUGCUGUAAACAUGGGCACACAUAUAUCACUGUAGUAUGAUGUUUCCAAUUCUUUUGGGGGAGAUAUCCAGACAGGGAAUAGCUGGGUUGAAUGGGACCUCCAAUCCUAGUUUUUUGAGGAAUCUCUAUGCUGAUUUCCAUGGUGGUUGCACAAGUUGACACUUACACCAAUGGUGGAGAAGAGUUUCUUUUUCCCCACAGUCAUUUGGGCAUUUUGUAUUGGUUGAUUUCUUGAUAGAAGCCGUUCUUUCUGGGGUGAGAUGAAAUCUCAGUGUUGUUUCAAUUUGCAUCUCUCAAAUGAUGAGUGAUAUUGAACAUUUUUUCACACGUUCAUUUGCUGCUUGUAUUUCCUUUUCUGAGAAGUGUGCAUUCAUCUCAGAUGCCCAUUUUUGGAUUGGGUCUUUAAAUCUGGGAGGACUGAUUUUUUUUUUUUUUUGAGUUCUUCAAAUGUUCUCAAUAGUAAUCCUUCGUCAGAGGAAAAGCUGGUAACCAUUUUCUCCCAAGUAGUGUGUUACCUCUUCACUCUGUCGGUGGUUUCCUUUGCUGUGCAAAAGCUUUUCAAUAGGAUGAAAUCCCAUUUGUUGAUUUCUGUGCAAUCGGAAUUUUGUUCAUAAAGUAUUUGCCUACACCAACGUCUUCAAGAGUUUUACCUACUGUUUUCCAACAGAUUUAAUGUAUCUGUUUUAAUAUUAAGAUCCUGGAUCCAUUCUGACUUUAGCUUAGUACAUGGUGAAAGACAUGGGUCAAGUUUUAAUCUUCAGCAUGUGCAUGCAGUUUUUCCAGCACCAUUUAUUAAAGAGGUUGUCUUUUUUCCAGUGAAUGUGUUUGGCACCUUGUCAAAGAUAAGGUAGCUUAGUGUGUUUGGAGUUGUUUCUGAAUCUUCUAAUCUGUCCACUGAUUGUUGUGUCUGUUUUUGCCAGUACCAUGCUGUUUUUAUCACCAUAGUUUUACAGUAUAAUUUCAAUUCAGGCAUUGUGAUACCCCAUCUUGUCUUUGUUCUCCAGUAGUGCCUUUGCUAUUCUAGACCUCUUCUGGUUCCAGAGGAUUGUUUUCUCUAAUUCUGUGAGAUAUGAUAUUGAAAUUUUGAUAGGGAUUGCACUAAAUCUAUAUAACAGUUUCGGAAGCAUGGCCAUUUUCACUGUUCUUCCUGCACAACAGCAUGGGAUACCUCUCCAUUUUCUAAUAUUCUCUUCAACCUCCUUUUUCAGAGUACUGUUGUUUUCAAUGUAGAGGUCUCUUACAUUCUUGUUUGAUUCCACAAACUAUGCCUUACAGUGAGUUCUAAAACAGGCCUCUUAUUUCUGGAGAACAGAUCCAUCCCCUUGAGGAGUCCUGCUUCAGUAGCAGCGAGUCUCAUGGCUAAAAAGUUGUGUUAAGUUUCUGGGCUUCACAGAUUGGUGACAGAGGUCUGAUUACACUCAUAGCAGGGAACAAAACUGAUAAACGCUUGAGGAGGUAAAAAGAACACAACCUGGAAAUUUAUACUACUUGGUUACUAAGGCUGGACAAAGUCAACUUUAUGAAUUAUGCAACUACUAUCCUCGUGGUACAGCACAAUCUCAUACAGGAUAUAAAUGAAAUCUCCUAAGAUUUUGAGGGCCGUGAUGGCAGCUUGGGACCUCUUGAUUCACUGUUGUUUCUAGUCAAGUAACUGUGCUUCACAAUAAACUGCAGAGCUAAUUGUCUUUUCUAACACACAUUCCAGGCACCGUUGGUCUGCUGGGUAAUCUGGCAGCCAGCUCUAGGACUGACUACUACUACUCAGAAUGAGCUUCUAGCUGAAAUGCUGACUCUAAAGUCCUAAUCUAGACUAUACUAUAUUGACUGGAACAGCUUUUUAAAAGGCAGAUACCAUCUUGGAGCUGACAAGCAGCUGGUCCCUUAUAAUUAAGCCUUGGGCCUAGUUCAGCAAGUUUAAGGUCUGUCCUACAAAGGUGGUUUGUUCUGAGUCCCUCCUGUCAAUCUUCAAAAAUAAAAUAUUUCCAGAAAAGCACACUCCCACUAUCAACUACACUAAGUGGGGGUCAUUCAGUGUCAUGCAUCUUACUCUUGGUGUCCAAAGGAACAAAACUAUUAAAGGAGAACUCCGACGAAUGAACUCCUACUUAGCAGAUGGUAUUCCUAAAAUUAACAUAAAACCUACAAACCCCAUAAGUCUAAUUCUUCUAAUAGUUUGUCUUGUUUUCCUGGUUUUGAAAUGGAAACAUCCUUGACUCACAAUCUGGGUCUCAAUGUUC